AUUGAACGCUGGCGGCACGCCUAACACAUGCAAGUCGAGCGGUAACAUGCUUAGUAGCAAUACUAAGUGAUGACGAGCGGCGGACGGGUGAGUAACACGUAGGAACCUACCCAGGAGCGGGGGAUAACCAAUGGAAACGUUGGCUAAUACCGCAUACAUUCGAGAGAAGAAAGCUGCCGCAAGGCGGCACUCUUGGAGGGGCCUGCGUCCGAUUAGCUAGUUGGUGAGGUAAUGGCUCACCAAGGCGAUGAUCGGUAACUGGUCUGAGAGGACGACCAGUCACACUGGGACUGAGACACGGCCCAGACUCCUACGGGAGGCAGCAGUGGGGAAUCUUGGACAAUGGGGGCAACCCUGAUCCAGCGAUGCCGCGUGAGUGAAGAAGGCCCUCGGGUCGUAAAGCUCUUUAGGCUGGGAAGAAGGUUGGUGGAGGAAAUGCCAUCAAUUUGACGGUACCAGCAGAAUAAGCACCGGCAAACUCUGUGCCAGCAGCCGCGGUAAUAC
rnacentral:rRNA from 1 species